CAGAAACCUAGGGCCUCGUUCCGAUCCUGUUCGGCUAUAAAUCAAGCGUUCAAAGGGUCUUCUUAAUGGAGAACUCGGUCAAAUACUUCAUAUUGUUGUGAAUUGUGGACAAUGCGUGAUCCUGCAAAGUUCCACAGAACUUCCGUCUGAGUCAACCAUACGUUAUCUAACCUUCUAUCUGACGUACAUACCGUAUGAAAUCAACACAAUUAACGCGUUCCUCUUAUCCUCACGCAUGUCGGUAUUUAGUAACGCAACAGUUCCCCUGCACUCAUGACAGAAACGAAGGAACCGACGCUGACCCUCAAGUAACCUUGAACCCA
rnacentral:misc_RNA from 1 species